GGGGACAGGGGGGAGGGGAGCAGUGGAGAAGUUUUCUAAAAAGGACUGUGAACAGAUGGAUUUCCAGUCCUGGCUGACACAAGUCUGCUCCUUCCACUGGAGAAAGCUCUAAAUAUUUUGUAUACCACUUUCACAGCCUGAGAAGCUCUUCACUCACAUGCUCUCCGAGGGCUACCUGAAACAUAU